UUUGAGUUCGAGAAAUUUUUUUCAUUAUUUUACAUUAUAAGUACCCAAAGAAGCUAUAUAUAUAAAAAACCAGAUACAAAUACCUGUUUUGCGAAAUUGAGAGCAAUUUUAAAUUUGUUCAGUUUUUUUGAUACACCCUGUAGAGUUUAAUUUGUUUGUAGGUUUGGACGCAAGUUCAGUAAAAAAACACAACGGUGGUGUCAUGUUCGUAUUCUGGUGCCAAAACAGUUCACCUACAUCCCCAAACUUCUACUGCAGGUUUUUGAGAGAAGAAUCAGCUCUGAAGGAACUGUGGGUAGAAGAAUUGGUUUGGUGAGUGACGAUCCGAGAAGAAUUGCUCCCAACAUAGCUGCUAUUCAGCCCCCUUCAGUGAAAACCUUGUAGAAGCCCAUAAAUCGAGAUUCUAAUUAUCUUUAACAAUGUACAAUACACCGUUUUUUUAUAUACAAACUGAUCUAUGUAAUAUUUACAAACUGAAACCCACAAUAUACUUACAGGCCAAGAUAAAGAUACUGAGUUAUCCAUGAAAAUGUAAUCAGCAAUUUGUGGUCAAGUAUAAUUAUCACCAGAUAAUAAUUUAUAGAAAAACAGAGGAAAACUUUAAUUACUUAAUUUAACAGCUAUCCUGCAUUUCCUAUUUCAUUCAACAUGUUUUGGAUGGCUGUUAUUGUCUGAGUGAUAAUCGACUUAGCUGUGCUCAACUUGGAUAACUUGGGAUAACUGAAUAGAAACCAGAUUACACGUCAAAAGUUUUUAUGAUCAAAGUAUAUUUUAUUAAUUUGAUCAAAUGAUGUAAAAAUUUACAGUUUAAUUGCCUUUUAUAAAAUGUCUUAGGUCAAGUAACUUCAAAGCAACUGUUCUUGAUUAAUUUAAAAGACUUUGAUCAGAGAAACCUUUAUAUUGUGUAAACCAACUUAAUUGAUAAUUACUAGUAUAUAUUUUUCACCCGAAUGUAUUGCCUAGUUUCAUGUCACAAAACUGAUUAUAUAAGGCUGUUCUGAGAACAUAUAUUGGUAAUAUUACAGGAUUGUGCCGAUCUCUUUUGUGAGACAAAAUCAGGCAAUUAUAGUAAAAUAUGAACAUGCGAGUGUCUGGCACCUUAAAACCAGAUUGGGUAGGUGGGGCUCAUAAGCCUUGGCAAGCAGUCCACCUAGGAGAAGGACAACUCUGAUUUCAAACCCCCAGAUCCCACUUUCGGGUCAGCCUGUC